CUGCGGUUGGGAGGGAAUGGGGCGUGGGGGGUUAGAGCAGGACCACAGCCUGGUGAGUCCCCGGGCAGCCGUCCUGCAGCCGCCACUCCUGCGCCUGCCAUUGGCCUCCUCACAGCGGAAACACAGCUUGUGAGUGCAUGUCAGCUGUUAACAAGUGGUUUUUAGUACAUUCUGGGCUUUGCUGUAUCUAUCUAGUGCCUGUUUGUGCGUUUUUUUCUUUCUUCCGCUGCUUCCCCAUUUUCCUUCUGUCCUUUUUCUCCUGCUCCUUGUUUUCCCAGCAGCACACGGGGUUCCUCGGAGGAGCAGAGGUGGCCGCCGUGGGGGGGCGUUUGGGCUGCGGUGCUGCGUCAUUUUUCCUUUGCUUUCUCUUUACUUUAGACACUGGCCCAACUCCAGGAGUUUCCUUUCAUUCCCUCAGUGCUUCUCUUCUGACCUGCAUGUUGAGUUCUGUAUUGCUGGGGCUUCCAACAAAAACCAGAGUCACUGACAGAGGGAACUGCAGAGACCUUGUUGGUAUUCAGCUGUGAUGGAUAUAGAGAAUCGGAGGCACCUUGUUUUCACAACUAGGAUAAAAAUAUCUGCAGGGUCCUUUCCAUUCCUAUUUAGAGGGAGUCCUGGCUCCAUGACCCCCUCCCGAGUGGACUGUCCAAGCAGAUAGGCUCACACGAGAAACAGUGAGGCUGAAAGGGGGGGCCAUGGAAGAGCGGUAGGGAGUCCACGGAGAAGAUGCAGUGAAUGCUUGCAUGCAUUCACACGUGUGUGUGUCCCAGCUAGUUCACUCCUUUCGCCGUGCGUGGUGGAGGCUCGCCUCUCUGGCCGGGUGCAGUGAACGGCCAGCGGGUUUCUUUUCUGCUGGGCCAAGGCGCUUUGGGGGUGGAGGGGGUGGUGCUGGCGCUGCACUGGGCUGACUGCGGCGCUGACACAGCGUUUCCCCCCAUCCCUGUUGCCUGUGUGUUGUGUGGAUCUGUUCCUAGUAUAGGCAACAUAAUGAGAUACUGUGCUUCCCACCUCCCCUUCAGUUCAGAGCCAAAAUGGGUCUAGAAUCUGGCACUUUACUCAUUUCCUUUGAUAAAUUGUACUGUGCAGAGCUGUCAGGAACCUUCAGAUAGCAGUAGAGGACUGCAGCUGCCUAGGUCUGCGGCCACAUCUUGGGGACACACUGGAUUGUUCCCAUGUGCAGGGUUCAGCACUUACGUGGGAGUGCUAGGGGUUAGGCUUUUGAGCUUGAACGCCUGCGUGUGAACAGAUGAAAAAUCCUUCAGUACCCAAGUCCCAGUCUGUCCUAUGGGGAGCAGUUUGGGGGCGGCCGGCAGCAGGAGCCUGGGAAAGAGGCCCUCGCCAGGUGAUGGCAGGGCCAGGGUGGCCUGGGGCACCCAGCGGAAUGUGCUUAGUAUUUGGUCACCAGCCGUCAUCCUGGGCUUUUCCUACUGUGUCUUGUUACAAGGCCUCAGCAAUCCACAGAACUCUCUCUCCUUCCUUCCACCUGUCAGCUUCUCUGCUUCUGAGAUAAGAACCAUUUGUGUAACACCAACACUUAACUUCAGAAAGACAUGCAUUAUGUGGUGUAAUCAAACCCGAGGCUUUCAGAUGACCUACUUACAUCUUCAAUGUGGAUAAGAUAAAGAACAAAACACAUGCAUCUAAACUGCUGGGCAAUCCAGUUGACUUUUAAAUGUAAGAAUGGAAUUCCAAACACUUAACACAUUCAGCUAUAUGACAGAAAGUAAAUCUAUGGAUAUGGUAUUUUGUGAAUGAUCUUUUAAAUAAAAGAAAACCUUACGUAAUAUUUAAAAAAAA
rnacentral:lncRNA from 1 species